GAUGAACGCUGGCGGCGUGCCUAAUACAUGCAAGUCGAGCGAACAGACGGGAGCUUGCUCCUCUGACGUUAGCCGCGGACGGGUGAGUAACACGUUGAUAACCUACCUAUAAGACUGGGAUAACUUCGGGAAACCGGAGCUAAUACCGGAUAAUAUAUUUAACCGCAUGGUUCAAUAGUGAAAGACGGUUUUGCUGUCACUUAUAGAUGGAUCCGCGCCGCAUUAGCUAGUUGGUAAGGUAACGGCUUACCAAGGCAACGAUGCGUAGCCGACCUGAGAGGGUGAUCGGCCACACUGGAACUGAGACACGGUCCAGACUCCUACGGGAGGCAGCAGUAGGGAAUCUUCCGCAAUGGGCGAAAGCCUGACGGAGCAACGCCGCGUGAGUGAUGAAGGUCUUCGGAUCGUAAAACUCUGUUAUUAGGGAAGAACAAAUGUGUAAGUAACUAUGCACGUCUUGACGGUACCUAAUCAGAAAGCCACGGCUAACUACGUG
rnacentral:rRNA from 1 species